UAGCCGUAAACGAUACUCGCUAGGUGUCGGCCACGGUGCGACCGUUGUCGGUGCCGUAGGGAAGCCGUGAAGCGAGCCACCUGGGAAGUACGGCCGCAAGGCUGAAACUUAAAGGAAUUGGCGGGGGAGCACAACAACGGGUGGAGCUUGCGGUUUAAUUGGAUUCAACGCCGGAAAUCUUACCGGGACCGACAGCAACAUGAAGGCCAGGCUGAAGACUUUGCCGGAUUAGCUGAGAGGAGGUGCAUGGCGUAGUCGUGU
rnacentral:rRNA from 1 species